rnacentral:rRNA from 1 species
GACGAACGCUGGCGGCGUGCUUAACACAUGCAAGUCGAACGGAAAGGCCCUGCUUUUGUGGGGUGCUCGAGUGGCGAACGGGUGAGUAACACGUGAGUAACCUGCCCUUGACUUUGGGAUAACUUCAGGAAACUGGGGCUAAUACCGGAUAGGAGCUCCUGCUGCAUGGUGGGGGUUGGAAAGUUUCGGCGGUUGGGGAUGGACUCGCGGCUUAUCAGCUUGUUGGUGGGGUAGUGGCUUACCAAGGCUUUGACGGGUAGCCGGCCUGAGGGGGUGACCGGCCACAUUGGACUGGGGUACCGGCCCGGCCCCCUCCGGGGGGCAGCGGUGGGAAUUAUUGCACAUGGGGCGGAGCCUUGUGGCACCACGCCGCGGUCCGGGUUGCGGCCUUCGGGUUUGAAACCCGUUUUGCCUUGUACGGAGCGUGGGUUGCGGUAAUUGGUAAAGGAGCACCCGCUAACUACGUG